UCAUUUCUCUUAAAGUAUCAUAAAAUCUUAUUUUAUUUCUUAAAAAUGUGUUGUAUAUUAAGUGUUGGACAUUCGUUUUAAUUUGACCCUUUCUUUUACCAAAUAUUUAUUUUGGUCAUUUAAUUUUUUUUAUUCGUUUUAUAUAUUUUUAAAUUUUAAGUGUUGAAUAUAGUCCUUCUAUUGGUUAAGAGCAUUUACAAUAAUAUAAAAAAUCUGAAUACCCGAUGUUUAAGUUUCCUAAAAUAUGAUUGAUUCUAAAUGGCACUUGGGCAAAUAUUUUGUUCAUUCUUGUAAAACAUAAGAGUUUAAUGGAUAUAGGAAAAUAGAGUAAAGAAAUUUUACAGACUCAAUCAAUCACAAUCAUGUUUUCCGCCUCAUCAUCCCACUUAAUCCCACUUUUUUUAUAUAACAAGGAAGGUUAAAACAUUCUUAUUAGUUGAAUGUGUAAAAAAAAUUUACUCUGUCUGUUUAUGUCCAUUAAACUCAAAACAUAAACAUAGUAAAAAAAUAAGAGCUGUUAUUUUAACAUAGAAAUAAACCGAUGGACACCGUCUGGAUAUGUGUGACUGGCAGAUAUGUGACAUGCAAACCAAGGUGAGAAAAAACACUAAAAACUCCCAAAAGCUAUAGCAUACCGUAUUUUUGUUAUGUUUGUGUUGGUGUUUUGUGCUCGAAAACCAUUUCCAGUAAAAUAUACAAG
rnacentral:lncRNA from 1 species